rnacentral:misc_RNA from 1 species
CUAUCUUUCCCCUGUCGAAUUUUUGAAUAGGAUGUCUUUGCUUUCCCUCUUUAGUUUCAAUGCUGUAAUAGUACUUACUUACACUACUUUUAGACCUUCGAAUGAAAGUGAAAUGGAGAUUUCUAUCAAAGCAAAGAGAGUUGGAAGGCUGGAAAGCAAUAGCUUACAAGAUACUCGAGACUAAGGUUCUUAAAGAAGGCAGCCAAAUCAGCAAUAGAAGAG